CGUCUUUGGGGCAGGGUGUAAUUCCCUACCGAUGGUGAUAGUCCAUGACUCGCUGAUAGCGACUGAUCUGGUGAAAUUCCAGAACCGACGGUAUAGUCCGGAUGAGAAAAGACA
rnacentral:ncRNA from 2 species